rnacentral:rRNA from 1 species
UGCCCCGAGAUGAGUUCUCCCUGAGACUACAAGUCUCCUGAAGGAACGUUGAAGACGACGACGUUGAUAGGCCGGGUGUGUAAGCGCAGCGAUGCGUUGAGCUAACCGGUACUAAUGAACCGUGAGGCUUAACCUUACAACGCCGAAG